rnacentral:rRNA from 1 species
GAUGAACGCUAGCGACAGGCCUAACACAUGCAAGUCGAGGGGCAGCACAUGAGUAGCAAUACGAUGGUGGCGACCGGCGCACGGGUGAGUAACACGUAUGCAACCUACCUUCUACCAGGGGAUAACCCGUUGAAAGACGGACUAAUACCCUAUAAUACAGGGGCUCCGCAUGGAGAUAUUUGUUAAAGAUUCAUCAGUAGAAGAUGGGCAUGCGCAUGAUUAGCUAGUUGGCGGGGUAACGGCCCACCAAGGCAUCGAUCAUUAGGGGUUCUGAGAGGAAGGUCCCCCACACUGGUACUGGGACACGGACCAGACUCCUACGGGAGGCAGCAGUGAGGAAUAUUGGUCAGUGGGCGAGAGCCUGAACCAGCCAAGUCGCGUGAAGGAAGACUGUCCUAUGGAUUGUAAACUUCUUUUGUACGGGAAUAAAGUGGGCUACGUGUAGCCUUUUGUAUGUACCGUACGAAUAAGGAUCGGCUAACUCCGUGCCAGCCGCCGCCGUAAAAC